GAGUUUGAUCCUGGCUCAGAUUGAACGCUGGCGCAGGCCUACACAUGCAAGUCGGACGGUAACAGGAACAGCUUGCUGUUGCUGACGAGUGGCGGACGGGUGAGUAAUGUCUGGGAAACUGCCUGAUGGAGGGGGAUAACUACUGGAAACGGUAGCUAAUACCGCAUAAUGUCGCAAGACCAAAGAGGGGGACCUUCGGGCCUCUUGCCAUCGGAUGUGCCCAGAUGGGAUUAGCUUGUUGGUGGGUAAGCUCACCAAGGCGACGAUCCCUAGCUGGUCUGAGAGGAUGACCAGCCACACUGGAACUGAGACACGGUCCAGACUCCUACGGGAGGCAGCAGUGGGGAAUAUUGCACAAUGGGCGCAAGCCUGAUGCAGCCAUGCCGCGUGUAUGAAGAAGGCCUUCGGGUUGUAAAGUACUUUCAGCGGGGAGGAAGGCGGUACGGUUAAUAACCGUGCCGAUUGACGUUACCCGCAGAAGAAGCACCGGCUAACUCCGUGCCAGCAGCCGCGGUAAUACGGAGGGUGCAAGCGUUAAUCGGAAUUACUGGGCGUAAAGGCACGCAGGCGGUCUGUCAAGUCGGAUGUGAAAUCCCCGGGCUCAACCUGGGAACUGCAUCCGAAACUGGCAGGCUAGAGUCUUGUAGAGGGGGGUAGAAUUCCAGGUGUAGCGGUGAAAGCGUAGAGCUGGAGGAAUACCGG
rnacentral:rRNA from 1 species